CUAAAUUGCAGCAAAGGUUAUGCCACACAAUCACAGUUACUCUCUCUUAGCUUACAGUUUGUCCUCGAACUCGGAAAGUGGGGUCAUCUGUUCCUUCAAUCCUUUCCUCUUGCGGAUUUCGGCGACAUGGGCUGCUGCCUGAGAGCCAGGUUCCAAUGGGUCUGAUGACAUCAUAUCCCAGUGAUCAAACACACAUUGUGGGAAAGCUUGUCCUGAUGUUGCAGCCCUCAAAGUGCUAGAGAAUCCAAAGGACUCAAUGACAGGAAGGUAUGCCUUGAUGUUGUAAAGUGGAGUGCCAGGUCUUUGCAUUUCCUCGAAUACGUGUCCACGCUUCUGGUUAAGAACACUGUAAAUACCACCAAGUGCCUGCUCCGGGGCUUGGAUCUCGACCAAGUAAACAGGUUCAAGAAGCCUUGGCUUGGCUGUGAGCUGAGAAGCAUAGAAAACCC
rnacentral:lncRNA from 1 species